rnacentral:rRNA from 1 species
UACGUAGGGCGCAAGCGUUGUCCGGAAUUAUUGGGCGUAAAGAGCUCGUAGGCGGCCAGUUGCGUCUGCUGUGAAAUCCCGGGGCUCAACCCCGGGCGUGCAGUGGAUACGGGCUGGCUAGAGGCAGGCAGGGGAGAACGGAAUUCCCGGUGUAGCGGUGAAAUGCGCAGAUAUCGGGAGGAACACCGGUGGCGAAGGCGGUUCUCUGGGCCUGUACUGACGCUGAGGCGCGAAAGCUGGGGGAGCGAACGGG